rnacentral:rRNA from 1 species
ACUCCUACGGGAGGCAGCAGUGGGGAAUAUUGCACAAUGGGCGCAAGCCUGAUGCAGCCAUGCCGCGUGUAUGAAGAAGGCCUUCGGGUUGUAAAGUACUUUCAGCAGUGAGGAAGGUGGAUAUGUUAAUAGCAUACUCAUUUGACGUUAGCUGCAGAAGAAGCACCGGCUAACUCCGUGCCAGCAGCCGCGGUAAUACGGAGGGUGCGAGCGUUAAUCGGAAUUACUGGGCGUAAAGCGCAUGCAGGUGGUUUGUUAAGUCAGAUGUGAAAGCCCGGGGCUCAACCUCGGAAUUGCAUUUGAAACUGGCAAACUAGAGUACUGUAGAGGGGGGUAGAAUUUCAGGUGUAGCGGUGAAAUGCGUAGAGAUCUGAAGGAAUACCGGUGGCGAAGGCGGCCCCCUGGGACAGAUACUGACACUCAGAUGCGAAAGCGUGGGGAGCAAACAGGAUUAGAUACCCUGGUAGGCUCU